rnacentral:rRNA from 1 species
GAUGAACGCUGGCGGUAUGCUUAACACAUGCAAGUCGAACGGACUCUUCGGAGUUAGUGGCGGACGGGUGAGUAACGCGUGAGAAUCUGGCUUUGGGUUCGGGACAACCACUGGAAACGGUGGCUAAUACCGGAUGUGCCGAGAGGUAAAAGAGAAAUUGCCUGAAGAUGAGCUCGCGUCUGAUUAGCCAGUUGGUGAGGUAAAGGCUCACCAAGGCAGCGAUCAGUAGCUGGUCUGAGAGGAUGACCAGCCACACUGGGACUGAGACACGGCCCAGACUCCUACGGGAGGCAGCAGUGGGGAAUUUUCCGCAAUGGGCGAAAGCCUGACGGAGCAAUACCGCGUGAGGGAAGAAGGCCCUUGGGUUGUAAACCUCUUUUCUUAGGGAAGAACAAAAUGACGGUACCUAAGGAAUCAGCAUCGGCUAACUCCGUG